GAGUGUCUUAGUGAGGAAAGAAAUAUUUGCCAUUGCCCAUUUGUUUCCGAGACCGGCGAGACGCUGACUUGAAAGUGUCUUCCAAGUUGAUUGGUGUCGAUCUACAUUUUUAGCCAUUAAAUGUAAUUGGCAAUCUGGCAUAUAACUUCACUUGGCCAAAUGUGAUGACGUGGCCCGAAACUGCUGUCCAUUUUGUCGAAAUGUCGGCCAUUGUUAGCUGUACAUCUCAUCUCUCGUGCAGAAACACUUCAGAGGAGCUAGUAAAUUGAUUUUCAGGUCGGAAAUGGAGAUCCCUUUGCUCAACUGUUGCAGAAAUUUAGAACACGACAAAGUCUGAGCUUCAUGGAUGUAGUAUCAUUAAUGUGAUUUUGUUGCAACCAGCUGGUGAAAGGUGUGAUCGAGUCGUGGUUGAGUUGCAGAAUCUGCAUGCAGUUUAUCAAGCUGGUGAUAUCCCAAGUGUAACUGCAGGAAAACUUCUUGAAUUGCCAGGUGAAGUCUGCGCUUUUUUGUUGCAGUCUAAUGUGCACAUGGAUUUGUUGCAGUCAUCCAGUGAAAGGUGUGAUUAAAUUGAGCUGUUGCAUGCAGUCUUUGGUGCUGAUGUUGUCCUGGAGUGUGGGAGAGUCCCAUGCUUAAGUCUUCUGGGAUCAGCCAUAUCUUAGUUGACACUGGAUCAUGCUGCAUUGUGGUUACCAAAAUGUUGCACAUCUAGGUUUAUGUUUACGUAGCAGUGAAGUUGCUGUCCAAUAUGGCAUGUUGUUGCAGCCUAUACUGGUGGAAAUUUUUUUGCAUCGACUUAUGCUGUUGCUGUUCCUUGGUGCCGGACUGCUGGUGUUGUGCACAAAAGUUGCAUCCAGUUUUAAUUGUUAUUGGUGUCAAUGCAGUUAACCGUUUGUAUGUUGAAAAGGAACAGAAAAGUUCCUUGGUAUUGAAUCGCUGGUGUUGUGCUACAUAAGUUACACCCAGUAUUUUGUUUAAUUGCUAUUUGCGUCCAUGAAGUUAACCGUUUAUGUGUUGAGAAUGAAAAAAAAAAUAGUAGUACGGGGAAUUUUUAGGUCGGACAAAUAAUAAACAUACCUUCACGAUUGGGAAACCAGCGAGGAGGAGAUUGGGGGGGUUUAGCUAGAAGAAGUUGUGUUUGUUUUAUAAUAAGGUAGAAAUAAAAUCCUUUGUCUAUCACAUCCAUAUACAUACCUUUAUAACCACAUCUUUCCUCAAACCCCAUAACUUCCACCAACAUCCACUCCUUAAUCCCUAUAACUUCCACCAACAUCGAUUCCUCUUAAACCCCACAAAUAUCUGUAAUGUGUAAAUAUUAAUGUUGAAUAAAUAAACCAGUAAUACAAUAUGUACAU